rnacentral:rRNA from 1 species
AGAGUUUGAUCCUGGCUCAGGAUGAACGCUAGCGGCAGGCUCAACACAUGCAAGUCGAGGGGUAUAGUUCUUCGGAAUUAGAGACCGGCGCACGGGUGCGUAACGCGUAUGCAAUCUACCUUUUACAGAGGGAUAGCCCAGAGAAAUUUGGAUUAAUACUUCAUAGUAUGCAGAGUUGGCAUCAACACUGCAUUAAAGUCACAACGGUAAAAGAUGAGCAUGCGUCCCAUUAGCUAGUUGGUAAGGUAACGGCUUACCAAGGCUACGAUGGGUAGGGGUCCUGAGAGGGAGAUCCCCCACACUGGUACUGAGACACGGACCAGACUCCUACGGGAGGCAGCAGUGAGGAAUAUUGGUCAAUGGACGCAAGUCUGAACCAGCCAUGCCGCGUGCAGGAUGACGGUCCUAUGGAUUGUAAACUGCUUUUGUACGAAGAAACCCUCCUACGUGUAGGAGCUUGACGGUACUGUAAGAAUAAGGAUCGGCUAACUCCGUGCCAGCAGCCGCGGUAAUACGGAGGAUCCAAGCGUUAUCCGGAAUCAUUGGGUUUAAAGGGUCCGUAGGCGGUUUAGUAAGUCAGUGGUGAAAGCCCAUCGCUCAACGGUGGAACGGCCAUUGAUACUGCUAGACUUGAAUUAUUAGGAAGUAACUAGAAUAUGUAGUGUAGCGGUGAAAUGCUUAGAGAUUACAUGGAAUACCAAUUGCGAAGGCAGGUUACUACUAAUGGAUUGACGCUGAUGGACGAAAGCGUGGGUAGCGAACAGGAUUAGAUACCCUGGUAGUCCACGCCGUAAACGAUGGAUACUAGCUGUUGGGAGCGAUCUCAGUGGCUAAGCGAAAGUGAUAAGUAUCCCACCUGGGAGUACGUUCGCAAGAA